UACAGAGGUCUCAAGCGUUGUUCGGAUUCAUUGGGCGUAAAGGGUGCGUAGGUGGCGCGCUAAGUCAGGUGUGAAAUUUCGGAGCUUAACUCCGAAACUGCAUUUGAUACUGGCGGGCUUGAGGACUGGAGAGGAGACUGGAAUUCAUGGUGUAGCAGUGAAAUGCGUAGAGAUCAUGAGGAAGACCAGUGGCGAAGGCGGGUCUCUGGACAGUUCCUGACACUGAGGCACGAAGGCCAGGGGAGCAAACGGG
rnacentral:rRNA from 1 species